rnacentral:rRNA from 1 species
AUGGCCGCCUCCGAUCAACAACAGCAUGCCCGCAGCAACCGGCAAGGCUUUGUGGACGAGUCCCGGUGGGUGGAGCUGAUCCGGCAGUCCCUCCGGGAGGUUCCCGGGGAGGAGGAGGACGACGGCAUCCAGGUGUCCGUGUUCGACGUGCCGAAGCAGCUGCAGGUGCACAGGCCCGAUGCCUACAGGCCGCAGUUCAUCGCGCUGGGCCCCUACCACCACUGGCACCCUCACCUGUACGACAUGGAGCGCUACAAGAUCGACGCCGCCCGCCGCGCGCUCCGCGCGGCCGGCAGCAGCCUGGAAGACCUCGUGUCCAAGCUCGCGUGCCACGAGCGCCGGGUCCGCGCACACUACCACCGCCACCUCGACUUCCAAGACGGGACGCUCUCCCUCAUGAUGCUCGUGGACGGCGCUUUCCUGCUCGAGUUCCUCACCAUCCACCACCACCACGCCGCCGCCAAGGCCAAGCCAGAGAGGGUCUCCGUCUCUAACUGGACGUCGAGGAUGGCGCACCUCAUCGACCUGGGCGGGAGCGGGCGGAAGUCCGCUCAUGGCCUAAUCCUCCGCGACAUGCUCAUGCUCGAGAACCAGAUUCCGCUCUUCCUCCUCCGCGAGAUCUUCCAGGCGACAUGUCACUCUCAGUCCGUCGACGAGUCCACCACGCGGCUCACCUGCAUGGUGACGGGCCUCAUGAAGGAGCUCUGCCCGUUGAAGAUGGAGGGCAACUUCCCGGAGAAGCAGAUCGAGAGGGACAUCGCAAAGCACGCGCACCUGCUCGAGCUGCUCUACCACCUGCUCGUGCCCAAGCCCAAGCCCUCUGAGAAUGCCGCCCCGGCGUGGUCUGGCCCCGUCGAGGAUGAUAUCGAGGAGCAGCGAGUGGACGGCGAUGGCGGCCAAGAAGGCGAAGGCCCUUCCGUCGGCACCGGCAGCGAGUACGUCAUGCAACUGCUCGCCACCAUGCGGAGAGUCGCGUCGAGGCUCACGCUCAACGGAGGCCGCCUCGGCCACGUGAUGAAGCCGAUCGAGUUUGCUGCCAAGGCGCCGUGGAAGAUGCUCACCGGCUUACCUGGCAUCUCGGCCUUUUCCAUGCCCGCGGACACCAGCGAGCAGGCGUCCACCAUGAGCCAGGACGAGGAGAUCGAGAUCCCAUCGGUCACCGAACUGGUUAGCAGCGGCGUCCGGUUUGCGCCGACCAACGGCAACCUGUCCACCAUCACCUUCAACCGCAAGACGGCGACGCUCCACCUUCCGGCAGUGACCCUCGACUGCAACACCGAGGUGGUGCUCCGGAACCUGGUCGCCUACGAGUCGUCCGCCGCGUCGGGCCCGCUGGUGUUCACCCGAUACACGGAGCUGAUGAACGGCAUCAUUGACACCGACGACGACGUCACGCAUCUCCGCAAGCGUGGCGUGGUGAUCAACCGCAUGAAGAAGAGCGACGGCGAGGCCGCCAAGCUGUGGAACGGCAUGAGCCGCUCGGUGCAGCACUCCAAGGUGCUGGACCUGGAUGCGGUCAUCGACGACGUGAACCGCUACUACGGCCGGCGGUGGAGCGUCAAGGCGAAGCGGUUCAUGCGCAAGUACGUGCUCAGCUCCUGGAAGAUGCUCACCUUCCUCGCCACCAUCUGCAUGCUGCUGCUCACCACCUUGCAGGCCUUCUGCUCUGUCUACACGUGCUCUCGGUGGUUCGGUGACGUUGUUGUCGCGGCCACGCCGACACCGAGACAGUAG